rnacentral:rRNA from 1 species
AUACGGAGGGUGCAAGCGUUGUUCGGAAUCACUGGGCGUAAAGGGCGCGCAGGCGGUUUGGUAAGUCAGAUGUGAAAGCCCAUGGCUCAACCAUGGAAGUGCAUUUGAAACUGUCAGACUUGAGUACUAGAGGGGAAAGUGGAAUUCCCGGUGUAGAGGUGAAAUUCGUAGAUAUCGGGAGGAAUACCGGUGGCGAAGGCGACUUUCUGGCUAGAUACUGACGCUGCGGCGCGAAAGCGUGGGGAGCAAACAGGAUUAGAAACCCCAGUAGUCC